rnacentral:rRNA from 1 species
UACGGAGGGUGCAAGCGUUGUCCGGAAUCACUGGGCGUAAAGGGCGCGUAGGCGGCUCAUGAAGGCUGUGGUGAAAGUCCGGGGGCUCAACCUCGGAUCGGCCGUGGCGACUCGUGGGCCUGGAGCACUGUAGAGGCGGGUGGAAUUCCGGGUGUAGCGGUGGAAUGCGUAGAGAUCCGGAAGAACACCGGUGGCGAGGCGGUCUGCUGGGGGUGAGGCUGCGCUGAGGCGCGACAGCGUGGGGAGCAAACAGG